AGCAGCCGCGGUAAUUCCAGCUCCAAUAGCGUAUAUUAAAGUUGUUGCAGUUAAAAAGCUCGUAGUUGAAUUUCGGGGUUAGCAGGUCGGUCGUGCCAUCGGUAUGAACUGGUCUCGCUGAUCCCUCCCUCUUGACGAACUGUGAUGCCAUUAAUUUGGUGUCGCAGGGAAUCAGGACUGUUACUUUGAAAAAUUAGAGUGUUUAAAGCAGGCUCACGCUUGAAUACAUUAGCAUGGAAUAAUGAAAUAGGACGUUUGAUCCUAUUUUGUUGGUUUCUAGGAUUGACGUAAUGAUUAAUAGGGAUAGUUGGGGGCAUUAGUAUUCAAUUGUCAGAGGUGAAAUUCUUGGAUUUAUUGAAGACUAACUACUGCGAAAGCAUUUGCCAAGGAUGUUUUCAUUAAUCAAGAACGAAAGUUAGGGGAUCGAAGACGAUCAGAUACCGUCGUAGUCUUAACCAUAAACUAUGCCGACUAGGGAUCGGAUGAUGUUAAUUUUUAAUGACUCAUUC
rnacentral:rRNA from 1 species